rnacentral:rRNA from 1 species
GACGAACGCUGGCGGCGUGCUUAACACAUGCAAGUCGAACGGAAGGGCCCGGAUCUUGUGUGGCGCUCGUGUGGGGAACGGGGGAGUAACACGCGAGUAUACUGCCCUUGACAUUCGGGUAAAUUUACGAAACUGCGGCUAAUAUCGGGUAGGAGCUUCUGCUCCAUGGGGGUGGUAGGAAAGUUUCGGCGGUGGGGGCUGGACUCGCGGCUUAUCAGCUGGUUGGGGGGGUAGUGGCUGCCCAAGGCUUCGACGGAUAGCCGGCCUGAGAGGGUGACCGGGCACAUUGGGACUGCGAUACGGCCCAGACGCCUACGGGAGGCAGAAGUGGGGAAUAUUGCGCAAUGGGGGGAAGCCAGAUGCAGCAACGCCGCGUGCGGGAUGCCGUCCUUCGGGUUGUAAACCGCUUUCGCCUGUGACGAAGCGUGAGUGACGGUAAUGGGUAAAGAAGCACCGGCUAACUACGUG